CAAAAAUCUGCUCUCCUUCCUUCUGCUCCUUGCUCCUUCUCAGGGUUAACUCCUGUCCUCUUCCCUCUAAAAGGAACUUUCUCUACAAGAGAAUCAGUUUAUCUCACUUUCCAGUGAGACUCUUCCCUGAGUAAUUCAAUCAGAGGACAUUCAGCUGCGUAUAACCCAGCUCUGUGGUGUGCUGUAUGAGUCAAUGCUGCUCCUGAAUGUCUCAAAGAUGCAUGCAUAUCUUCUUGCCAUUCCCAGGACACAAGUACCGUGGAGAGGCUUAGUAAUUUAUUUUUUUUCCAGAAAUCUCUUCUAAAUAGUCUGUCCACCUCAAGCAUGCUGCUCCACACUGCACUUAUGCAGUCCUGGGAGAGCAGCAGAGCAAGCGACAUCACUGCCAAGCUCAUCAGUGCUGCCAGCUUGUGCCAAGUGCAGAGCAGGUGCCAUCAGAGGAUGAACCUCACCCUCAAGAGGAGUUCUGCUGAAGCUGGCACACCCCAUUCUCUGGAGAUUUCUAGAUUGAUGAUGGAGGAAGCUGAAGGCAAUGUUUCAGACCAAACCUCCAACCUUUAAAAUCAGAACCAUUUCUGAGCUAGCAUGGCCCUGGAGAUGACAAGGGGAGAAACACAGCAGACUGGAGAGAGGCUUCCCUGGUGAGAGGAGAGCUGUGGUAGCCCUGGGGCUGUCAAGCAUGGCUCUGGCCCCAGAUGACAGGCAUUAUAUAUCAAUUUAGUUCUGGUGAAGGCUGCUCAAUUGACAGCCCUGGAAACCAGUGCUGUGUGCUUAUAAGCAGUCUGGGCAGAGGGCUGCAACAUGGAUGGCAGAAGCACAAACUUGCAGAAAUUGCUUGUCCAUCUCAAAACAGACUUCAAGCAUCUGGCUCCAUGGAGCACAGCCGAACUGCCCAGGCAGACAUGGUCUUCUGAGGUCUGAAAGCAACAGUGCCAAAGAACUGCUGAAGGAUUUCUACAAGAAGUCGCAUGGAAAUACUGCUGAGAAAUUGGUCCUUCCGAGGAUCAGAGGAGAUGAAGCAAAACUAACUGUACAAUUUUUCACAAGCUUUCCAAAUGCAUUUUUUGCAGACUAGUGAUGACUUUCAGCUCUUUCCACCCACCAGUAAUUCCGGUUUUAUAGAACAGUGGAGGGAAGGCUAAGGAGAAGCAAAGUUCAUUUCCCACUUGCAUCAUUAGUGAAAAAACAUUCCUGGAGCUUUUAAUAGCAGCUGUCAGCAUUAAAGCUCAUGGUGUACAACUCAGAGGUAGAUUCAUCUCUCCUGAACAAAUUUAAUUAACAAAGCUGCACUACAGCAACACACAAGUAGGAGUGAGCAGUUAACAGCUCCCAGUCUAAAGUAUGAAGCUUCCUGAAGAAAUACUGCUGAUUAAAGCAGUGCAGUGAAAAGUUCUUCACAUAUCUAAAUUUCUAUCACUGUCCCAAAGGUGGAGCAACGUACACCAGUGUCACCACCAGAGGACAGGGUAGUAUUAACCAACAUGAACCAUGAAUGAGCUGCUUCUUAUGACCAGUUGGAGCCUUGCAGGUAACAGCAGACAGAAGGGAUUGCGGGAAAGGGCAUGUGAGAGAAGCAAGUCAUCAAUAGCAAUAAAACUGAGUAUACCACUUCAAAAAUUGUGUGUGGAUAUACACAUACGACAAUACAUAUUUUAAAUGCAUCGUUGCAUUUGUUGGUGUUCAAAGAGCGUUUGGAUGUUGUGUUGAGGGACAUGGUUUAGCGAGAACCAUUGGUGAAGGACGAAUGGUUGGACUGGAUGAUCCUGUGGGUCUUUUCCAACCUUGGUGAUUCUAUGAUUCUAUGAUUGCAGCCAAAUUAUCUGUGCUUCUCAGGUCCGCUUGCUAUGCUCUUCAUAGAGCAAUGAAAUCACAGCAUUGUAAAUCAGGCUGCUGUCACUAGGUUUUAAAAUUAGAACAGUGCCUCCCACUCUCCAUUUUUUUACACCUGCCCAUAUGCUUUUAUACACAACAAUAUUCAAUUGUUUCAUCCUUCCCCCAAUCCAUCAGUGAUGUUCAGAGUUGUAUAAAAAAAAAAUUGUCUCGCUGCAAUAGGC
rnacentral:lncRNA from 1 species